UACGUAGGCAGCAAGCGUUGUUCGGAUUCACUGGGCGUAAAGGGUGCGUAGGCGGUCGGGUAAGUCUGAUGUGAAAUCUCACAGCUUAACUGUGAAACUGCAUUGGAUACUAUUCGGCUUGAGUGUGGCAGAGGGGGGUGGAAUUCCACGUGUAGCAGUGAAAUGCGUAGAGAUGUGGAGGAACACCGAUGGCGAAGGCAGCCCCCUGGGCUAACACUGACGCUCAUGCACGAAAGCGUGGGGAGCAAACAGG
rnacentral:rRNA from 1 species